rnacentral:tRNA from 1 species
GCCCAAGUGGCGGAAUUGGUAGACGCGCCAGCUUCAGGUGCUGGUAACCGCGAGGUUGUGAAGGUUCGAGUCCUUUCUUGGGCACCA